rnacentral:rRNA from 1 species
ACCAGACUCCUACGGGAGGCAGCAGUGGGGGAUAUUGCACAAUGGGGGAAACCCUGAUGCAGCGACGCCGCGUGGGUGAAGAAGCGCCUCGGCGCGUAAAGCCCUGUCAGCAGGGAAGAAAAUGACGGUACCUGAAGAAGAAGCCCCGGCUAACUACGUGCCAGCAGCCGCGGUAAUACGUAGGGGGCAGGCGUUAUCCGGAUUUACUGGGUGUAAAGGGGGCGCAGACGGCGAUGCAAGCCAGGAGUGAAAGCCCGGGGCCCAACCCCGGGACUGCUCUUGGAACUGCGUGGCUGGAGUGCAGGAGGGGCAGGCGGAAUUCCUAGUGUAGCGGUGAAAUGCGUAGAUAUUAGGAGGAACACCAGUGGCGAAGGCGGCCUGCUGGACGAUGACUGACGCUGAGGCUCGAAAGCGUGGGGAGCAAACAGGAUUAGAUACCCUAGUA